UGUAAAUAUGAGGAAAUGAAAGCUGAAGUUCUGAUCUAUCGUCUCAUAUUCGUCUUUUAUCUCAAACCCAAAUGUCUUCAGUAUACAGCAAAAGCAAGUGAAUUGGCCUUGAUGUUCCAAUACUUUUGAAGAGGACUCUAAUUGUAAGAAUUAAAUAUAAUUUCCGUACUGAACAAAGACUGAUUAUCUGUUCAGGCGUUAUUGUGCAGAUCCACAUUUAAGCAUCUUACUAUACACCGAGUUCAAAGAGCUUUUUCUCAUCCCCAUCCUGGAUCGCCCCUACAGCUGCCUGUUUGGUACAUUCCUCUACAGCAGUGAGCAGGAGAGAAUGGAAAAGGACGUACAGGGUAAAACAGUCACUGUGGUCCUACGUUAACAGUCAGCCGGAGGACUUCACUAACCCGUUCUAUGUGGACUGUAAAAACCAGGUGCUGUAUCCACUGGCCAGUCUCACACAUCUGGAGCUCUGGGUGGGUUAUUAUGUGCGUUGGAACCCACGCAUGAGACCACAGAUGCCGCUCCAUCAGAAUCUGAGAGAGUUAUUGUUUUUGCAUGAAGAACGUGGAGGAGCUCCAGAGAGAGGCCACGUCAUCCUGCUCCAUCUCCUCAUCCUCAGAGCAUACUUCUCCCUCCUCACAUAGUGGUUUGGCAUGCUGUGCAUCCUGAGAUGCUUUUCUGCUCACCAUGUAUGUAAAGAGAGCUUAUUUGAUGUUACCAUGGCCGUCCUAUUAACUUGACCCAGUCUGGCCAUUCUCCUUUCGUCAACAAGGUGUUUCCACCCCGAGAACUGCCACUUACCGGAUGUUUUUUCACACAAGUGUGUGUGUGUGUGUGUGUGGUGUGGAAAUCCUAGGAGAGCCGAAGUUUCUGGAGUACUCAGACAAGACCAUUUAGAAUCUACAACCAUGCCACGGAUAAAAUCACUGGAUUACAUUCUGGUGUUUGAUGUGAAUAUUGACUGAAGCUCUUCAUCUGAUCCUGCUUGAUGUUGUACACUGUGGUGUUGCCAUAUGAUUGGCUGAUUGGAUAAUUGUAUGAAUGAGCACAUGUACAAGUGAUCAGUGAGCACAUCUAUCUACCAUAGAGGUAUUUUGGGGCAAUACUUGACAAUGUACCUGACUUUGUUACA